rnacentral:rRNA from 1 species
GACGAACGCUGGCGGCGUGCUUAACACAUGCAAGUCGAGCGGUAAGGCCCUUCGGGGUACACGAGCGGCGAACGGGUGAGUAACACGUGAGCAACCUGCCCCUGACUCUGGGAUAAGCGGUGGAAACGCCGUCUAAUACCGGAUACGACCUUCCACCUCAUGGUGGAGGGUGGAAAGUUUUUUCGGUCAGGGAUGGGCUCGCGGCCUAUCAGCUUGUUGGUGGGGUAACGGCCUACCAAGGCGAUUACGGGUAGCCGGCCUGAGAGGGCGACCGGCCACACUGGGACUGAGACACGGCCCAGACUCCUGCGGGAGGCAGCAGUGGGGAAUAUUGCGCAAUGGGCGAAAGCCUGACGCAGCGACGCCGCGUGGGGGAUGACGGCCUUCGGGUUGUAAACCUCUUUUACCACCAACGCAGGCUCCGGGUUCUCUCGGGGUUGACGGUAGGUGGGGAAUAAGGACCGGCUAACUACGUGCCAGCAGCCGCGGUAAUACGUAGGGUCCGAGCGUUGUCCGGAAUUAUUGGGCGUAAAGAGCUCGUAGGCGGCGUGUCGCGUCUGCUGUGAAAGACCGGGGCUUAACUCCGGUUCUGCAGUGGAUACGGGCAUGCUAGAGGUAGGUAGGGGAGACUGGAAUUCCUGGUGUAGCGGUGAAAUGCGCAGAUAUCAGGAGGAACACCGGUGGCGAAGGCGGGUCUCUGGGCCUUACCUGACGCUGAGGAGCGAAAGCAUGGGGAGCGAACAGGAUUAGAUACCCUGGUAGUCCAUGCCGUAAACGUUGGGCGCUAGGUGUGGGGACUUUCCACGGGUUUCCGCGCCGUAGCUAACGCAUUAAGCGCCCCGCCUGGGGAGUACGGCCGCAAGGCUAAAACUCAAAGGAAUUGACAGGGGCCCGCACAAGCGGCGGAGCAUGUUGCUUAAUUCGACGCAACGCGAAGAAUCUUACCAAGGUUUGACAUCACCCGUGGACCUGUAGAGAUACAGGGUCAUUUAGUUGGUGGGUGACAGGUGGUGCAUGCUGUCGUCAGCUCGUGUCGUGAGAUGUUGGGUAAGUCCCGCAACGAGCCGCAACCC